GAUGAACGCUGGCGGCGUGCCUAAUACAUGCAAGUCGAGCGAACAGACGAGGAGCUUGCUCCUCUGACGUUAGCGGCGGACGGGGGAGUAAAACGUGGAUAACCUACCUAUAAGACUGGGAUAACUUCGGGAAACCGGAGCUAAUACCGGAUAAUAUAUUGAACCGCAUGGUUCAAUAGUGAAAGACGGUUUUGCUGUCACUUAUAGAUGGAUCCGCGCCGCAUUAGCUAGUUGGUAAGGUAACGGCUUACCAAGGCAACGAUGCGUAGCCGACCUGAGAGGGUGAUCGGCCACACUGGAACUGAGACACGGUCCAGACUCCUACGGGAGGCAGCAGUAGGGAAUCUUCCGAAAUGGGCGAAAGCUUGACGGAGCAACGCCGCGUGAGUGAUGAAGGUCUUCGGAUCGUAAAACUCUGUUAUUAGGGAAGAACAAAUGUGUAAGUAACUAUGCACGUCUUGACGGUACCUAAUCAGAAAGCCACGGCUAACUACGUG
rnacentral:rRNA from 1 species